GACAUGCCUAGCACAUAGUAGGUGCACAGCAAAUUGCCUGGCUGGAAGAGUGCAACCAUACGAAUGGAAGAGAGUAAAGAAUAAAAAAGCUCCUGUUCCUUUAAAUAAGCAGCAACAACCCAGUUCAAUCUCUGUUAUCAUCACCAGCAUCAUCAUCAUCUUAACUACCACGUCAUGAAUGUUACCGGGUACCAAGCAAUUUAAACACAAGCCUGGAAGCCUAGAAGGAAGACCUGCAAGAGGGUAUUGUUAUCUCCAUUCAUCAGAUGAAAAAGUUGAGACCUAGAAGGUAAAAUCACUGCCCCGCCCUCGACUGCUGGAAUAGAGAGAUGAUCUCCAGGCUCCCCGCCAC
rnacentral:lncRNA from 1 species